GAGCUUGUAGGCGGUUUGUCGCGUCUGCUGUGAAAAUCCGGGGCUYAACCCCGGACUUGCAGUGGGUACGGGCAGACUAGAGUGUGGUAGGGGAGACUGGAAUUCCUGGUGUAGCGGUGAAAUGCGCAGAUAUCAGGAGGAACACCGAUGGCGAAGGCAGGUCUCUGGGCCACUACUGACGCUGAGAAGCGAAAGCAUGGGGAGCGAACAGGAUUAGAUACCCUGGUAGUCCAUGCCGUAAACGUUGGGAACUAGGUGUGGGUCUCAUUCCACGAGGUCCGUGCCGCAGCUAACGCAUUAAGUUCCCCGCCUGGGGAGUACGGCCGCAAGGCUAAAACUCAAAGGAAUUGACGGGGGCCCGCACAAGCGGCGGAGCAUGUGGAUUAAUUCGAUGCAACGCGAAGAACCUUACCAAGGCUUGACAUAUACCGGAAACAUUCAGAGAUGGGUGCCCCGCAAGGUCGGUAUACAGGUGGUGCAUGGUUGUCGUCAGCUCGUGUCGUGAGAUGUUGGGUUAAGUCCCGCAACGAGCGCAACCCUCGUUCUAUGUUGCCAGCACGUGAUGGUGGGGACUCAUAGGAGACUGCCGGGGUCAACUCGGAGGAAGGUGGGGAUGAGGUCAAAUCAUCAUGCCCCUUAUGUCUUGGGCUUCACACAUGCUACAAUGGCCGGUACAAAGGGCUGCGAUACCGUGAGGUGGAGCGAAUCCCAAAAAACCGGUCUCAGUUCGGAUUGGGGUCUGCAACUCGACCCCAUGAAGUUGGAGUCGCUAGUAAUCGCAGAUC
rnacentral:rRNA from 1 species